UAAGAGGCACAUUCUCCAACCUAGCUGCCAUUUCCUGGGACACAUCGUCUCCAUCAUCCAGAUGGGCAGAGCCGGCUCCAGCAUAGCAAUGGCCAUGUUAGCAAAACAAAUGGAACCUGAAAAAGAAAAUGAGGAGGAUAUAAUAAACAGCAUCAUCUUGCCCCUGCACUCAGGCCACUGUAAUUGGAGAGGAGGGGAGGCAGAGACAAACACAGAUGUGUUUCUUGACCACUUAACUCUCCUUCUCUCUCUUUCUCAUGUACACACUUUCUUAUUCUUCUCUCACAGAAAGAGGACCCUCUUGAAAGUGUCACAACCCCUAAAACACAACCAGUGAUCAAAUAAUUGACUGAACAAUUAGUUUCUUUCUUUACA